rnacentral:rRNA from 1 species
UACGGAGGGGGCUAGCGUUGUUUGGAAUUACUGGUCGUAAAGCGCGCGUAGGCGGGCUAGCAAGUUGGGGGUGAAAUCCCGGGACUCAACCUCGGAACUUGAUCCAAAACUGCUAGCCUAGAGGAUGUGAGAGGAUAGUGGAAUUCAGAGUGUAGAGGUGAAAUUCGUAGAUUUUCGGAAGAACACCAGUGGCGAAGGCGACUGUCUGGCGCACUUAUGACGCUGAGGUGCGAAUGCGUGGGGAGCAAACAGG